ensembl:lncRNA
CGGAGGAGGACGUCCAUGAGGCCGCGUGUGACCAUGUAAGGUAAACAGGGGGCUCAUGAAGUCACUGAGGACCAAUGCGGCACUCGGAGCGGACCCUGGGGCGGGGCCAGGCCCCGACGGCAGCCGCCGAUUGGCGCGCUGCGGAUCUCCCUGCUGCCUUACAAGGCGGUACAAGGGCUCAGAGAACCAGUGGAAGAGGAGAAAGAAGGAGUAUAAGAGCCAGAGGGAUGGGGGACAGCAAGAAAACAAGGCCCUGUAAACCAACGGGACUGAUGUACACAUGAACUUACAGAGACUGAGGCAUCGUGCACAGGGCUUACAUGGGUCUGCACCAGCUGGGGUCCUCUUGCUGCAAGGAGAAGCAGACACAUGCCCCGAGCCCUAACCAGAAGCAUUGAUAACCAGUCGAUGGAUAACCACUUGCAAAUGAAAACUUCGUUUUCUUCAAGGGAGUUGCACUGGGGAAACAAACGACACUGAAGGGUAGGCUGCUUGCACUGCAGUAACGACUCUGAAGGGUAGGCUGCUUGCACUGCAGUAACGACUCUGAAGGGUAGGCUGCUUGCACUUC